rnacentral:tRNA from 1 species
AAAAUAGUAGUUUAUUUAUAGAAAAUACCUUUUUGUGGAAAAGGUGAAGGCUUGGUCCUAUUUUG